rnacentral:rRNA from 1 species
CUACGGGGGGCAGCAGUGGGGAAUAUUGGACAAUGGGCGCAAGCCUGAUCCAGCCAUGCCGCGUGGAUGAUGAAGGCCCUAGGGUUGUAAAGUCCUUUUAACGGGGAAGAUAAUGACGGUACCCGUAGAAUAAGCCCCGGCUAACUUCGUGCCAGCAGCCGCGGUAAUACGAAGGGGGCUAGCGUUGCUCGGAAUUACUGGGCGUAAAGCGCACGUAGGCGGCUCUUUAAGUCGGGGGUGAAAUCCUGGAGCUCAACUCCAGAACUGCCUUCGAUACUGAAGAGCUCGAGUCCGGGAGAGGUGAGUGGAACUGCGAGUGUAGAGGUGAAAUUCGUAGAUAUUCGCAAGAACACCAGUGGCGAAGGCGGCUCACUGGCCCGGUACUGACGCUGAGGUGCGAAAGCGUGGGGAGCAAACAGGAUUAGAUACCCUCGUAGUC